GAAUUCGAUUCAGGCCUAACACAUGCAAGUCGAGCGAUGAAGCACCUUCGGGUGUGAAUUAGCGGCGAACGGGUGAGGAACACGUGAGAAAUCUGCCUUCAACUCUGGGAUAACUCCGGGAAACCGGGGCUAAUACCGGAUAUGAGCCUUGAUCGCAUGAUCAGGGCUGGAAAGUUUUUCGGUUGAAGAUGAUCUCGCGGCCUAUCAGCUUGUUGGUGAGGUAAUGGCUCACCAAGGCGACGACGGGUAGCCGGCCUGAGAGGGCGACCGGCCACACUGGGACUGAGACACGGCCCAGACUCCUACGGGAGGCAGCAGUGGGGAAUAUUGGGCAAUGGAGGAAACUCUGACCCAGCGACGCCGCGUGAGGGAUGAAGACCGUCGGGUUGUAAACCUCUUUCAGUAGGGAAGAAGCGAAA
rnacentral:rRNA from 1 species